GAUGAACGCUGGCGGCGUGCCUAAUACAUGCAAGUCGAGCGAACAGAUAAGGAGCUUGCUCCUUUGACGUUAGCGGCGGACGGGUGAGUAACACGUGGGUAACCUACCUAUAAGACUGGGAUAACUUCAGGAAACCGGAGCUAAUACCGGAUAAUAUUUCGAACCGCAUGGUUCGAUAGUGAAAGAUGGUUUUGCUAUCACUUAUAGAUGGACCCGCGCCGUAUUAGCUAGUUGGUAAGGUAACGGCUUACCAAGGCGACGAUACGUAGCCGACCUGAGAGGGUGAUCGGCCACACUGGAACUGAGACACGGUCCAGACUCCUACGGGAGGCAGCAGUAGGGAAUCUUCCGCAAUGGGCGAAAGCCUGACGGAGCAACGCCGCGUGAGUGAUGAAGGUCUUCGGAUCGUAAAACUCUGUUAUUAGGGAAGAACAUACGUGUAAGUAACUGUGCACGUCUUGACGGUACCUAAUCAGAAAGCCACGGCUAACUACGUG
rnacentral:rRNA from 1 species